rnacentral:rRNA from 1 species
UACGUAGGAGGCGAGCGUUGUCCGGAUUUACUGGGCGUAAAGCGCGCGCAGGCGGCAUGGCAAGUAAGGUGUGAAAUCUCCCUGCCUAACGGGGAGGGUGCAUUUUAGACUGCCAAGCUAGAGGACGGUAGAGGGGGGUAGAAUUGCUGGUGUAGCGGUGAAAUGCGCAGAUAUCAGGAGGAACACCAAUUGCGAAGGCAGCUCGCUGGGACGUUACUGACGCUGAGACGCGAAAGCGUGGGGAGCAAACAGG